GAUGAACGCUAGCUACAGGCUUAACACAUGCAAGUCGAGGGGUAACGAGAGGAAAGCUUGCUUUCCUUGUCGACGACCGGCGCACGGGUGAGUAACGCGUAUCCAACCUGCCCCCAACUAGGGAAUAACCUUGCGAAAGUAAGACUAAUACCCUAUAAUUUCCUCAGAUGACAUCUGACGAGGAAUAAAGAUUUAUCGGUUGUGGAUGGGGAUGCGUCUGAUUAGCUUGUUGGCGGGGUAACGGCCCACCAAGGCAACGAUCAGUAGGGGUUCUGAGAGGAAGGUCCCCCACAUUGGAACUGAGACACGGUCCAAACUCCUACGGGAGGCAGCAGUGAGGAAUAUUGGUCAAUGGGCGAAAGCCUGGACCAGCCAAGUAGCGUGCAGGAUGACGGCCCUAUGGGUUGUAAACUGCUUUUAUACAGGAAUAAAGUUAGCCACGUGUGGUUAUUCGUAGGUACUGUAUGAAUAAGGACCGGCUAAUUCCGUGCCAGCCGCCGCAGUAA
rnacentral:rRNA from 1 species